rnacentral:rRNA from 1 species
AGGAAUAUUGGUCAAUGGGCGAGAGCCUGAACCAGCCAAGUAGCGUGCAGGAUGACGGCCCUAUGGGUUGUAAACUGCUUUUAUAAGGGAAUAAAGUGAGAGUCGUGACUCUUUUUGCAUGUACCUUAUGAAUAAGGACCGGCUAAUUCCGUGCCAGCAGCCGCGGUAAUACGGAAGGUCCGGGCGUUAUCCGGAUUUAUUGGGUUUAAAGGGAGCGUAGGCCGGAGAUUAAGCGUGUUGUGAAAUGUAGACGCUCAACGUCUGCACUGCAGCGCGAACUGGUUUCCUUGAGUACGCACAAAGUGGGCGGAAUUCGUGGUGUAGCGGUGAAAUGCUUAGAUAUCACGAAGAACUCCGAUUGCGAAGGCAGCUCACUGGAGCGCAACUGACGCUGAAGCUCGAAAGUGCGGGUAUCGAACAGGAUUAGAUACCCUGGUAGUCCGCACGGUAAACGAUGGAUGCCCGCUGUUGGUCUGAACAGGUCAGCGGCCAAGCGAAAGCAUUAAGCAUCCCACCUGGGGAGUACGCCGGCAACGGUGAAACUCAAAGGAAUUGACGGGGGCCCGCACAAGCGGAGGAACAUGUGGUUUAAUUCGAUGAUACGCGAGGAACCUUACCCGGGCUUGAAUUGCAGAGGAAGGAUUUGGAGACAAUGACGCCCUUCGGGGUCUCUGUGAAGGUGCUGCAUGGUUGUCGUCAGCUCGUGCCGUGAGGUGUCGGCUUAAGUGCCAUAACGAGCGCAACCCCUCUCCUUAGUUGCCAUCAGGUCAAGCUGGGCACUCUGGGGACACUGCCACCGUAAGGUGUGAGGAAGGUGGGAAUGACGUCAAAUCAGCACGGCCCUUACGUCCGGGGCUACACACGUGUUACAAUGGCAGGUACAGAGAGACGGUCCCUUGCAAAAUGGAUCAAAUCCUUAAAGCCUGUCUCAGUUCGGACUGGGGUCUGCAACCCGACCCCACGAAGCUGGAUUCGCUAGUAAUCGCGCAUCAGCCAUGGCGCGGUGAAUACGUUCCCG